rnacentral:snoRNA from 1 species
UGGAUCGAUGAUGACCUCAAUACAUGCAUUCCUUGGAAAGCUGAACAAAAUGAGUGAAAACUCUAUACCGUCGUCCUCGUCAAACUGAGGUCCA